rnacentral:rRNA from 1 species
GACGAACGCUGGCGGCGUGCUUAAUACAUGCAAGUCGAACGGAAAGGCCCUGCUUUUGUGGGGUGCUCGAGUGGCGAACGGGUGAGUAACACGUGAGUAACCUGCCCUUGACUUUGGGAUAACUUCAGGAAACUGGGGCUAAUACCGGAUAGGAGCUCCUGCUGCAUGGUGGGGGUUGGAAAGUUUCGGCGGUUGGGGAUGGACUCGCGGCUUAUCAGCUUGUUGGUGGGGUAGUGGCUUACCAAGGCUUUGACGGGUAGCCGGCCUGAGAGGGUGACCGGCCACAUUGGGACUGAGAUACGGCCCGGACUCCUACGGGAGGCAGCAGUGGGGAAUAUUGCACAAUGGGCGGAAGCCUGAUGCAGCAACGCCGCGUGCGGGAUGACGGCCUUCGGGUUGUAAACCGCUUUCGCCUGUGACGAAGCGUGAGUGACGGUAAUGGGUAAAGAAGCACCGGCUAACUACGUG